rnacentral:lncRNA from 1 species
AUGACGGGCGCAAACAGCAGAGGAAUGCAGUGCACCACAUCCUCAAUCUCGAACUUUCUCUUUCAAAAUCAAAAUGUGCUUAUAUGCUUUCAUCUUUCAGCCGAAAUAAAAAGAGUGGAUGAAAAUGCGACAGCAUCUGUGUCCUGUCCGGCACUUAAAGAGCUUGAAAACACAUCCAUCACCUUAUACAAGGGAGACACAAAGCUGCACUCAUCAAACCCGAGUGAAAUGGACAGUAAUGAAACAUUGCAGCGGUUUCAGGUGUACAUACAAAACUCCUCAGUCUCAUAUAAGAUUUUAAGGACUGAAGUCAAUGACACAGGACUCUACAAGUGCACAAUAGAUGCUCAAAUCAGGACAGCCGUUUCCCAGACUUUGUUGCUAAUUAAAGAUGCUCUGGAGCCCAUAGAAUCAACUGUGACUUGUCCAACUGAUGAUCAGACACUGCCACUUACUGUUGCCUGUGUGGUUAUCUUUGUAUAUAACCUGUUCUUCACCGUCUUUGGCUGUUACCUCGGAUAUAAAGUCAAGAACACAGAGCCAGCUGAGAAUCCCUACAUAAACGUGAGACCGCGAGGAUUCAGGCGACGCUGA